UAGGGAAUCUUGCGCAAUGGGCGAAAGCCUGACGCAGCCAUGCCGCGUGAAUGAUGAAGGUCUUAGGAUUGUAAAAUUCUUUCACCGGGGAAGAUAAUGACGGUACCCGGAGAAGAAGCCCCGGCUAACUUCGUGCCAGCAGCCGCGGUAAUACGAAGGGGGCUAGCGUUGCUCGGAAUUACUGGGCGUAAAGGGCGCGUAGGCGGAUGUUUAAGUCGGGGGUGAAAGCCCGGGGCUCAACCUCGGAAUUGCCUUCGAUACUGGACAUCUUGAGUACGGGAGAGGUGAGUGGAACUCCGAGUGUAGAGGUGAAAUUCGUAGAUAUUCGGAAGAACACCAGUGGCGAAGGCGACUCACCGGCCCGUUACUGACGCUGAGGCGCGAAAGCGUGGGGAGCAAACAGGAUUAGAUACCCUGGUAGUCCACGCCGUAAAACGAUGAGUGCUAGUUGUCGGCAUGCAUGCAUGUCGGUGACGCAGCUAACGCAUUAAGCACUCCGCCUGGGGAGUACGGUCGCAAGAUUAAAACU
rnacentral:rRNA from 1 species